rnacentral:rRNA from 1 species
GCCUUUAGCCACACAAGUAUUAAAGGUCCCGCCUGCCCAGUGAUAUAUUUUUAACGGCCGCGGUAUUCUAACCGUGCAAAGGUAGCGUAAUCACUUGUCUUCUAAAUAAAGACCAGUAUGAACGGCUAAAUGAGGGCAGACCUGUCUCCUAUAACAAAUCAGUGAAACUGAUCUACCAGUACAAAAGCUGGAAUAAACACAUAAGACGAGAAGACCCUGUGGAGCUUAAAAACAAACGGUCAACGAAUCAACUAGAACACCCCGCAAUGACCAAACGUUUUAAGUUGGGGCGACUUCGGAAAAAAACAAAACUUCCGAGAAAAAGGCCACUAACCUACCCCAAGGACUACAGCCCAAAGCACUAACACAAAAGACCCAGUCAAACUGAUUAACGAACCAAGUUACCCCAGGGAUAACAGCGCCAUCUUCUUCAAGAGUCCAUAUCGACAAGAAGGUUUACGACCUCGAUGUUGGAUCAGGACACCCAAAUGGUGCAGCAGCUAUUAAAGGUUCGUUUGUUCAACGAUUAACAGUCCUACGUGAUCUGAGUUCAGACCGGAGAAAUCC